rnacentral:precursor_RNA from 12 species
CUCCUUUUCUUUCACCUCCAGGUGCCCAAUUGUGUAGAGGUAAGAAAUAUGCUGUGUUCUUGGUUGGUAUAUUUCUUGCCUCUACCAAUUGAGCAUAUUGGACUUGGCUGCUGCCCUUU